rnacentral:rRNA from 1 species
UACGAACCGUGCUAACGUUGUUCGGAAUCAUUGGGCUUAAAGGGCGCGUAGGCGGGUCAGCAAGUCAGGGGUGAAAUCCCACGGCUCAACCGUGGAAGAGCCUGUGAUACUGCUGAUCUUGAGGGAGGUAGGGGCGUGCGGAACUUCCGGUGGAGCGGUGAAAUGCGUAGAUAUCGGAAGGAACACCGGUGGCGAAAGCGGCGCGCUGGACCUCUUCUGACGCUGAGGCGCGAAAGCCAGGGGAGCAAACAGG